UUUGGGUAGGUAAGCAUGAUAUUUUCAUUCAAAAAACUUAAGGAUCCAUGUCAAGGCAUCCACACCACUAUGCUGAGGCCCUAAAAAAAACCUAGUUUCCAAGAUAUUGUUUUCAAGUGCCCAUUGUUAAGAAUGUGGAGCACUUUAUACUGUACUUCUCUUCCUUUAUUGUAUUGUAAAUAAAAAAAUGUUUUUGGUGAGUCAGCCCAUUCAUGCAUCCCUUUUCAUGGUUAUAGAUCUCAAAUCAUUAGGUAUCCAUUUCCGUUCUGUAUUUAUGAUUUUGGAGCUCCAAAAAUGCACAUAUGAUGUUUUUUUAAAAAAUGAAAUGAACGGUCGACAUGAAAAGAUACAAGAUAGAUCACUUUUAGGACUUUUCUUUGUUAUGUUUUUACAAAUUUAUUAUUGUGGCUUUCGAGAUGAUAAAUCCAUAAAAUUUUGGAUCUAAAAUCAUCCAAAUGAAAUCUAAGUGACUUAUCUAGUUUUCCUUUACCAAAACCUGCUUUUUUACUUAUCACUAAUAAAUAAAAUUGACACAAGUUUUUCCAUGUUUAACCUCGAAAAGGUCUUAAUAGAAGGUUCUUAUUUUUGUCAUUGAUUGUGUGGGUUUGAGAAGAAGAUAGCAUUUAAAAUAUUUAAAAGACCAGAAAAAGAAAGGUGAAAUUCUCCCUUAUCUCAUAGAGACUUGAACCAAUGUAUUCAAGACAUAUCAAGAAAUGAUAAUGACAGUUGAAAAUUGAUGAUAAUGACAAUUGAAAUUUUUUAUGAUUAGCAGGGCAUGAAAGCGGUGACUUUUAAAAUUGAAUUGAUAGCAUGAAAACUGACAAAAAUUUCAAGGGUUUGGACUGUUGGGCAGUGAUCAAAGUGUUGCCCAAUUAAUUUUAAGAUUCA
rnacentral:lncRNA from 1 species